CUGGCGGGGCUGCGUGCCUGCUGCAGUUGUGUUUAUCAUUCAUCAGAGAAGAGAAGCAACCUGCCAGGCCGGCAAGUCAGGCCCCGCAGAGAGAAGACUUAAGAUUAUAUACGUGUAGCUGGCACAGGACCUUGCUAGCACAGGACCUCACUCCCAGCUCCUCCUGCAGCUCAACAUGGCCAGGUGACUGGUUCUCACUAAAGCAACGGACUUGCAGCUCAAGUAUAUCUGUGCUUCACUGGAAGAGUUGAAAGAGCUGGAGACUGUCUGUGAUCAAUGAGCCCCUGUCACUCUCAUGACACUUUCCUGAACCAUUUCACCAGCACUCAGGCAGAAGAGGAGGACAGCAGGUGAAGUCAGAGAGAUUCAAAGCACAAGGAUUCAACUUUCUGUUGCUGGCCUUGAAGAUGCAGGAGGCCAUGAGCCAAGGAAUGCAAGCAGCCUCUGGAAGUUGAAAACGACCUAAGUGCUCAGUCCUACAGCUGCAUGGAACUGAAAUCUGCCAACACCCUGAGUGAUCCGGAAGUGGAUUUUCUCCCAAAGCCUCCUGAUAGGAGCCCCAGCCAGCUGACAGAUUGACUUCAGCACUAUGACAUCAAAGAGCCCACCCAAGGCUGUUACUGGAAGGAGGGCCUUGAGUGUAAGUUAUUCAGUUUCUUGGCGUUUUGAACAAAGACUUGGACAAAACACACAAAGUAACAAAGGACUGAAACAUAGGAACGAAGUAGGGAAAGCAGGAAUGUAUUAAAGUGAAAAAGGACCCCACAGGGUGGGAGUCGGCCCAAGCAGGUGGCUCAAGGGCCCAGUUGCAAAGUUUUCUGGGUUUUAAGUUCUCCUGUUCAGAUUCCUAUUGGCUACCCUUUAUCUGGAUGAAGAAUUUGGCCUGUGGCUAAUUAAAGGAUGAAGUGAAUUGGUGUCCUAUGCGAUGAAGGGAUGGUCCCUGCUUGGUCCUCGGCCCAUCGAAGGCACUCUCCCUGUCCAUCUGAGACAUUGAGUAGCCUUUGCUCCUUUGCUACUCUGGAGCGGGGAGGUGGGGUUUUUCCUUUUGGUUUAGCUUUAGGAAGUUGGUUUAAUUGGCCUUAGCUUCCCUGACCGUAGACCCAGGUGCUAUCCUUUUGAUUCAGCUUUAGGAAGUCAGCACGAAUUGGCCUCAGAUUCCGUGUCCCCACACCUUGGUGUUUUUCCUGGAUUCAGCACCAAUUGUCCUUAAGUUCCCUGCCUCCAGACCCUUAUUCUCCUUCCUGAAGACAGCUUGAACUUCUGACCCACAGAACUAGGAGCUAAUAAAUGAGUGUAGUUUUAAGCCACCGAGUUUGGCAAUUUGUUACAACAGCUGUCGAAAAUGAAUGUAAUCUACAAAAUAGGAGACUGUCACUUAGGGGAGGGACAGUAAUGCGUUGUGAGCACCUGGAGGGCAGAAACUGGGUGUUAUUUAUUUGGAGGCCUUACAGCCUGAUAUGUAGUAAAUGCUCAAUAAAUAUAAGUGAAUGAAUCAAUGAAUAAAUGUUAAAAGGAUAAGCAAAGGAGC
rnacentral:lncRNA from 1 species